AGAACAAAUCAUUUGUAUUUUUUUAAUCUUGGCAUACAUUUAUUAUUUGAAAAUUGCAAACAUGUAUACAGUAUGGCUCAAUGAUACUUACCCUCUACACUCUUCUGCUCCAUCUUUCUAUGCCCCACAACACGUCUCCAUGCCAGCUUAAUGUCCUAGGAAUGAGUUUUGUUAGCCUGCAAAUAUCCACUUAGCCUGUACUAUCUCUAAUCCUUAAAAAAUCAUCCCAACUGAGAUGUGCAGAUAAUUCCCUAAUAAGAAGAAAUGAGAAAGAUUUGGAUGCCAUAUUUAAAUGGUGGAUUUCCUGAGUCCCUGAGAAGCUCAUUCUUCCCAAAGACUCCCCCUUUUUUUCUGGAAUAAAUAACAAGUUUUCAAGGUGUGCUGUGUGCUGGGGCUCUCAUUCUGUGACAACAUCUGCAUUGCUAAUGGAUGUGACUCUUUCUUAUGCAUGCUCUUUCCUGAGCAUCCACCUUCAUAUCUGUACUCUUCUCCCUUAUCAUCCCCAAGUAGAGUUCGUAGGGGUGGGGGCAGUAACAUAGGUGGGGAAGGGAUUCAACAACAUGUUGAAAGUGAAGGAAAAGCUCUUACAUUAGGAGAGACUAACAUGGAAACCCCUGAUAGCAUUUACCCACAGACUAUUCAAGUCUUAAGAAAGCAAAUUAGAAACCAGGGUUUGAUUGCCUCUCCAGUAAAGAGCAGAGGAUUUUACUGUCCUUGUUAUUAUGGCAUACCAUAAUCGAAAAAGUGAUCAUGCUAAAUUAAUGCUGUGGUACACGGAGUGGAUAUGCUGAACUAAUAAUGUAACGGGCACAGAGAGUUCCUAGGCCAUCUUGUUGAUGUAUCUUGCUGAUACCUUCUAACAAAGUAUGUGUGUUGAAUGCUUAGUCCUCAGCUGGUAAGGCUAACCGAAAGGUUGUACAGACACAACCCAGGAAUAUCGUGUCUCUGCUCAUUUCAGCGCCUCUCUCUGCUUCCUGGCUACAAAUACAUGUGAUGCUCUCCACUGCCAAACCCUCUUAGUCACCAUUAACUGCUACUUCUAAAACUGUGAGCCCAAGUCAAUCUUACCUCCUUAAGUUGUUUCUGUUGGGUAUUUUGGACAUUGUUGUACAGAAGUUCGUAUGUCCACGUCUCUCUCCAAUUCCCCAUGGUCAUAGCUAAGGUUGGUGGAAGAUCAGAGAGCUGGGGUGCCAGAGCCAGAGCUAGUCAGUAAAUAGCUCUGUUGGGACAGCUAAUCAUGAGUAUUAUAGAAAAACAGAACUCCUAGCCCUUGUUGUACUUUCCGGGCUUUGGGCUGGGGUUGGGGAGUUGCUAUUUAAUCCACGCAUUCACUUGCUUAUUGAGCUUUGCAUGCUCCACACAAAGCUCAGUUGGACACACCCAAGUAAGUGGGUGUGCUUUGUGUGUUCUGAAUCAGUGAUCUCAAUACUAAGAGGUAGGAUCAGCUCUGUGUGCAACUGGGGAGGAUGAAGCAAGGAAGUGCAACGAUUUUUAGGGCCUUGUCUCCUUUCUGCCCUUUAUUCUGUAUCUCCUAUGUGUAUCACUCUCCAAGGGGUCAGAGCUGCAUCCCAGAAACCAGUAUCAAUUCCGCCUGUGUCCUCUUAUGCAGAGAAGGAGAAAGUACUGCUUUAUGUUAGAUAUCUCACGAACUUUAGUUUAGGCUUUGUUCUCCCUUUCAUUGUCUAUAUAGGAAACAAGCCUCAAUCUCCCUCCCCCUCCCUCUACUCUCUCUCUUACUCACUCACUCAAAGAAAGAACUCCAUUAGGGAAUUUGUGCUGUGUACACGUGACUUGGCAAUCCCACCUUCGGAAGCUCUAUUAGGCUAAUAAUCUAUGUUUGAAGAACAAUUGGCAUCUAGGGCUUUGCUAAUGCUGGGGCUGUUAGCAUAUUAGUUCCAUUUGUGAUGGGUAAGUGCUUUUGGAAAUGAUAAGACUUAUCUAAUAAAAUUUAUUUUUAAACUAUUAGUCACAGCCUUUUUUUCCAAGAGAUCCUGUCACCUGUCCCUCCUGUUACACAAGAGUGGAGAAGGGACUCUUGGGGUUUACCUGGUUAUUAGUAUUUGAAGACUGCUGUCAAAGUCUCUUCCGUUUCCGUGCCAGUUCCACAUGAGGCAUUACAAAUGUGUUUACACUUUUCCCUUUACUUUGCAUUAUUAGUAGAAGAUGCUUAGAAAACAGAUGAAUUAAAGUUGGGUUUGGUGUAGGUAUGUCUGUACGUUUUUUAAAUUCCCACUGUUUUUUUUUGGGGGGGGGGAGUCUGAGUCAGGAGGAUAGAGAAUUAAACUAGCCUAUGCUAUACAAUGCAUAGUGAGCUCUGUGUUACCAGCUUGGAUUCCAUAGCACAAACCGAACCUGUCUAAGGUUUUGUUGUUGUUGUUGUUUGUUUGUUUUCUUUGUUUUUUUUUUUGUUUUUUUUUUGUUUGUUUUGUUUUUGCAGAAGCAUUUCUGGCUUCUGUAAAAAGUGAAGAAGUAGCAUAUUGGAGGUCUUAAAAGAUGGUUCAGUGGGUAAGGUUGCCACGCCAUCGUGAAACCAUGAGUUUGGUUCCUCCUACCCACAUAAAAUUAGUCAAGUACAUUAGUGUCCAUAUGAUCUUUGUACUAGAGAGGCAGAGAUAGAAGAAUUCCUAAGACUUGCUGGCUAGGUAAUCUAGCUGAAUCAGCUAGCCCCAGUGAGAGAUCCUACC
rnacentral:lncRNA from 1 species